rnacentral:rRNA from 1 species
UACGUAGGCAGCAAGCGUUGUUCGGAGUUACUGGGCGUAAAGGGUGUGUAGGCGGUUCUUUAAGUUUGGUGUGAAAUCUCCCGGCUCAACUGGGAGGGUGCGCCGAAUACUGAGGGGCUAGAGUACGGGAGAGGAAAGUGGAAUUCCUGGUGUAGCGGUGAAAUGCGUAGAUAUCAGGAGGAACACCGGUGGUGUAGACGGCUUUCUGGACCGUAACUGACGCUGAGACACGAAAGCGUGGGUAGCAAACAGG